UAUGGCAAGACUCUUCCCAGUACGAAAGGACCGGAAAAGUGGGGCCCAUGCUACAAGUACGCCCCCUCAGCAAGCAAUGAAAUCAACUAAAUUGCCAAACUGACCCACCAACCGCACCCCUAGAAAAGGGCAUAUA
rnacentral:rRNA from 1 species